AUUGAACGCUGGCGGCAGGCCUAACACAUGCAAGUCGAGCGAGCGGCGGCCGGGUGAGUAAUGUCUGGGAAACUGCCUGAUGGAGGGGGAUAACUACUGGAAACGGUAGCUAAUACCGCAUACCAUCAGAUGUGCCCAGAUGUGAUUAGCUAGUAGGUGGGGUAACGGAUAACCUAGGCGACGAUCCCUAGCUGGUCUGCGAGGAUGACCAGCCAAACUGGAACUGAGCCACGGUCCAUACUCCUACGGGAGGCAGAAGUGGGGAAUAGUGAACAAUGGGCGCAAGCCUGAUGCAGCCAUCCCGCGUGUGUGAAGAAGGCCUUCGGGUUGUAAAGCACUUUCAGCGGGGAGGCGUUACCCGCAGAAGAAGCACCGGCUAACUCCGUGCCAGCAGCCGCGGUAAUUC
rnacentral:rRNA from 1 species